GGUGACCUGCCGGAAGGAUCAUUAAUGAUGCCCUCGAAGUCUUUGGACUGGUAGGGUUUGUGUCGGUCUCUUCGGAGUCGACCUUAUCUCACACACCGUGAACUGUGGCUUCGGCCAUUUACACAAACUGUUAGUAAUGAAUGUAACAUCAUAACAAACAUAAAACUUUUAACAAGGGAUCUCUUGGCUCUCGCAUCGAUGAAGAACGCAGCGAAAUGCGAUAAGUAAUGUGAAUUGCAGAAUUCAGUGAAUCAUCGAAUCUUUGAACGCACCUUGCGCCCUUUGGUAUUCCGAAGGGCAUGCCUGUUUGAGUGUCAUGAAACCUCACCCCACUUGGGUUUUUGCCCGAGCGGUGGUGGAUUGGGUGUCUGCCGUUACUGGCUCACCUUAAAAGCAUAAGCAACUUUGGAUGUAAUACGUUUCAUCCUUACGAGUGGCUGAUAACCCCACAUAACUCAUGAUCUGGCCUCAAAUCAGGUAGGGCUACCCGCUGAACUUAAGCAUAUCAAUAAGCGGAGGAAAAGAAACUAACUAGGAUUCCCUUAGUAACGGCGUAGUGAACCGGGAU
rnacentral:rRNA from 1 species